rfam:Ictidomys tridecemlineatus contig108027, whole genome shotgun sequence.
UGGGGGGUGGCUCAGUAGUGGAGCACUGGCCUAGCAUGUAUGAGGCACUGGGUUCGAUUCUCAGCACCUCAU